rnacentral:lncRNA from 1 species
AAUUAAUGAAUGAAUGUUUAAUGCUCACAAGCCACUUCUUCUCCAAGCCUCCGUUUUCUCUUCUCUAAAUGGCAGUAAAAAUAAUACUGCAAUGAACGGCUGCUGCUUUUGUCUACCUGGUAUUCCUUCUACAUUUGAUAAGAGAGCUCCUCUUUCCUAAACCCAUUUCAUGUGGUUCUGAUAGCAGCAAUCACAGAGUUGCUAUGGUCACCCCGGCUGCCCUGGCAAUCAGGGAACACCACCAUUUCCCUGGUCAUGGUGGUGCACAAAAAGGCAUGCGUUUCAAGCAGGGCCAAUCCAUGAGACUAGGUCAAUGCUCUCUGGAUGAAGGGCCAUUUGGAGGAGCCUGUGCUGGCAGGGCCAUGUGGGCUGUGGCUGUCAGCAGUGAUUUUACAAACUCUUGAAGGCAGCUUGCUCGGGAUGUAGCCAAGCAGCAUCAGGCAAAGCAGAGAGUUGCCUCGAGAAAGAACAGAGCUCGUGCUCUUUUUGAAAAUAGGGUCUAGCUGGAAGAGAGCUGAGGCAAACAGACCCUGGGAAUGGACAGGACUAAUAUGGAGCGACAAACUGCGGAGCCAAAAGCAGAAAUUCCUCUGCCUAGGAUGGCAUCCUUCAAUUUUUGCUUGGCAAAUUCCUGCUCAUCCUUCAGAACCUCAUUUGAGGACUUCUUGCUCCCCUAGAUCUCAUGGGCUGAAUUGAUCACGAUUCCCUUUGUGCCCCAUUGUACCAGGUUUCAACUGUAUCAAAUUCAUCACUACAAAUUGUAGUCAUCCAUUGUGUUCAUUUGCUAGAAAUGCCAUAACAAAAUAGCACAGUCUGGGGGGCUUAAUAGAAAUGUAUUUUCUCAUGGUUCCAGAGGCUGGAAGUCCAAGAUCAAGGUGUCGACAGUGACGGUUCCUUCCGAGGCUUCUCUCCACGGCUUCACCCUGUCUUCACUUGGCCUUUCCUCUUUGUGUGCAUCCCUGGUAUCUCUGUGUGUGUCUAAAUGUCCUUUUCUUAGAAAGACAUGAGUCAGAUUACAUGAGGGCCCACCCUAAUGGCUUCAUUUUAACUUAUUUACCUCUUUAAAGGCUUUAUUUCCAAAUGCAGUCACAUUCUAAGGUGAGGGUUAGGGAUUCAACAUAUGAAUUUAGAGGGACAAAAUUCAUCCCACAAAAUCUACUUUCCUACUUCCUCCACCAAGUUACUUGAGGUCAGAUGGAAGCUGCUUAAUAAAUGUUUGAUUAAGAAAGGAUUAACAAGAUGAGUGAAUGAAGAGAAAUCAUUGUGCUGCCUCAGGCCUAGAUAGAUCCUUCCUUUGGCACCAGUGGUCACUUUCUAGUCUCUCCUCAGACUGGUCUGGGAAAAUUAAGUCUUCCAGAGAAGGCUGAGGUUAUUGGAGUUUCUUCUGCCCUGUUUCAGGGUGGGCCAGGUGCCAAGGGGAUGCCUACGUGCCAAAGGCCAAGAAUCAGUUUUGUUAUUUUAAUCCCAUUUAAAAUCUUUCUAGCCUCUACUCUCUUACUGACUUCCCACAUCUGGUAAAUUUCCUGAGCUGUCAAUUCUUCUCCUAGAGUAGCUAUCACUUCUCUCAAUUUUUGUGAGGCUGGCAGAAACCCUGACUAGCUCUUUCUUAGAUCAGAGUACCAAUCUCCUAACUAGCUGGUCUGUCACCACCGUCCCCACUUUAAUAUACCCUAUCCUUGUGAUUGUAAUCUAUCUGAAAUCAGUGCCAACUGUGCCAUUCAUAUGCUAAGAAAGCUCUGAUCUGCCCUACUGUCUAAAAGUCUAGGUCCCCUUUACAUUCCUCCACAUGCCCUUCAGACCUUUUGCGAUAUUGAUUUCAUCCAUCUCUCCAGGGUCCUCUGUCGUCUUCAGUCUCCUGCCACACCAAGGCCACGUCUCUGUGCCUCCUCAUAUGUUUUUCUACAGCCUGCAACACAUCUCUUCCCCUUCUCCCACAAGGAUCCCGUGCUUCACAGGCCAACUCAACAUUACAUGCUUAUCCAAAGCUUCCCAAGAACCAAGUUUAGUUAUACUUUGAGCUGUUUACCAUAGACUCUACCAUUUUGCAUUAUAGCUUUUUUGUGCAU